CUCAUAACCUACCCGACACCUCCUCUUUCCCCUUCCAGCGCCGAGCUCCUCUCCCGUGCCCUAAGCCGACGCGCCACCAUCCCUCUUCCUCCCGCGAGCAUCCGGACGCCGACGCCCUCUCUUCCUCUCACACGAGCACCACAGACGCGUCGACCACCUCUACUCGAUGCCGACCCCAACGAACCCUAGCUCCACCAGCAUCUUUCGGCCACGAGCGGACAUCAGAUCUUCCCUCUCCUUGCGCGAGCACCGAAGCGGCCGGUAAUCGUCUUCUCUCCCUCGUGCGGGCACCAAUCGAUCCCCCUCUCGCGAGACCUCACAAAGCAUAGCCGCUGAUCCUUUUCCCUCCGCUCUGUGCCCCCAACGGAUCCGACAAGUACUCUCUAAUAGGACUGGGAUCGAUGCUGGUGUUGAGACAAAGGUGACGUUGGAUUCAGACUACAUUUAGAGGUAACAGGUAGAUGAGUCAUGGAUGCUUGGAGAAAUGUCGGCUGCCAGUCCUGGGUCCUAC